rnacentral:lncRNA from 1 species
GCCGCCGGGUACCUCGACCUGCUCAAGACGGCACUCGCCGCCGGGUACCUCGACCAGCUCAAGAUGGUCGAGGCAUACCUGGUCGCCCACCCUGCCGAGUACGUCUAAUUAAAACAACGCGACAAACAUCAGAAAUAAAUCAAUCUUCCUUUAUAAGAAAGAAUAAAUAAAUAAACUAUUAAGGUGAGUACAUAUCUUUGUUUUGAAGAAAUUAUAUGAGCAAGUAGCCCGGUGUUGUUUGCUUCGUGGUUG